ensembl:lncRNA EDRF1-DT EDRF1 divergent transcript
CCGAACCUCUUCGGGAGACUACUUCUCGCGGUAUCUGACUCCUAGGCUCCGCCCUCUGCACGCCGCUCACGGUAUCUGACGCUCAGGCUCCGCCCCCUGCAUGUCUUUGUUGGCAAACAGUUCUGGGGGUCGUCCGAUCCUGCAGGCUGGGAAGUUCAAGCACAUGGCUCUAGCUUCUGGUGAGAGGUUUCAGGCUGCGUCAUAAUAUGGCAGAGAAGAUCAAUGGGUAAAUGGACAUGUGUGAAGAAAGGCAAAACCAGAGACCGUCCAGGCUGGACUUGAACUCCUUCCUCGGCUGAAGUGAUCCUCCUGCCUCAGCGUCCUGAAUAGGAAGUGGAGCCAGAAUCCACAGAUGUCAUUAUCCAUCUGCACACUUUGUUUACUACCCAGAAGGCAAGAAUAUUGCAUUUUAAAAGUGCCCGGACUUUUGUUCUUUCUUAUCACAAAUGACUUGGGAAGCUCCGACCACUCAUGUUUACCCCGAGUGAAAGUCCCAUUCAAAGCCUUGCUUCCUGGAGAGCUUUGAGAUUCUGGUACAAAAGGCAUUUUAUAAGCACAAAGUGGAAAAGCAUCAUUCAUAUUCAUUUGCUGCUGCGGCAUUUCUCCCUGGAAUCUUCCUCUUGUCUGUCAACAUUGGGCAAAAGGACUGGCCUCAUCUACAUUACAGAUAUCCUUGUGAUGGUCUGGAGGGACCUGUGGGAGAGGCGGCCAUCCAGAGGGCUCUCUGAGGGGUCAUUUAGAAUGCAACUCUUCUGGGCAGAGGAUGGUCUGCACUGGCCUCCACCACGCAGGAAGGCUUCCAGAGUGGAGAAAUGUCCACUAACAUGGCUUCUGUGAGGUGUGGGCAGCUCUUUUCUUGGUGUGGGGCUCUGUUUGGUGUGAUGUAAGAGGUAUCACAGGGCUUUCCUGUCCCAGAAGAUCUUAGUGGAUGACACCUAUGGGGGUUGCCAGCUGGAUUAGGUGAGGCAGAGCACACAGCUCUACCUAAGGGGUCCCAUUCUCAUCUGGGAAUAUUCUAGGACAUAGGACACUACCCAAGAGGCAGAGCCUGGAGUGGCAUUAUACGGGUGAAAGAUCUGAGUGCCAGGUCCAUAUAAAUGAGUGGGGUUGGGGGGAUCGAGGUGCUUAGAGAACAGGAGAGCUGCCACAGGAAGGGAUGGUACCCACAGGGAGGAAGAACCAUGUCUCAGAUUCCUUCCUUUAUACCUCUUCCUGGGACCUCCUUGGAGUCUGCAGAUCAGCUGGUGCUUCUCCAUCUCCUGUCAUCUUCUUCAAAUCUUUUCAUCACAAAAAAUUUUCAGUGUAAACCUAAGUAGAGAGAACAGUAAAAGGAACCCCCAGGGGCCGUCACCAUCACCCACCAUCAACAGCGAUCAAUGGGCCGUCUAAGUCCGUUUUCCCUACUUUCAUCCCCGCUCCAGAUUAUUAUCAAAAGUAGCUCAUCCCUAGUUAUAUUUCAUUUAAUCCUCUCAGUUGCAUUUUUUUCUGGCCACGUUCUUCUGUCUGUCAAUCAUGGUCUUAAGUCAGACAGUCUGCUGGGUUGGCUAGGAAAAGACUCUUUCUUUCUCAAGAAAGAGUUGUAAGUAAUUUUGAGAGAAAUGUUGCAGAUUGACCAAACAAGGUAUGCUUAAUUUAGUUCAAUUCAUCAGUUACUUAUUGAGUCCUAGGCUUAGUGCUGGAUUCAACAUAUCAGUCAAUCAUGGUUUCUGGCCUACAGGGUUCAGUGCUCUAGUUCUGGGUGUGCGACGAGGACCACAGCAAGUAUUCACUCAGGAAAGGCAGAAUGUGGCCACAGGGAAAGGAAAGGUACAAGGUGUGGUGGAGGUUACAAGGCAUGACAAACACACUGGGCUGGGAAUGGUAACAGUGGAAGAGGAUCAGGAAGGGUCGUGAAGCCUGAGGCAUUGGAGAGGGACUUGGAAACCUGGGCAGACAGUGGGACGGUGACUGCAAAACACUCAAGUGUGCAGGUGGGAAUGGCAGUGGGGGACAGGCGAGCCUAGCAGCGAGAACACAUGGUGCAAGGGGCCCCAUGGGGGUUCUGGGGUGGAGGAGGUAGGCAAUUGGGCUCUCAAAGAAACCCUUGGGCUUUUUCUAGCUUAAUAAUAAACAAUUAUUAUUUCUAAGGAAAAAGAAAACUGGAUUUCUAGAAGCAUGGCUAUUAAAAAAAAAACAACUCCAGACCCCAAUUAGGAAACUGAAAGGAAAUCAAAGUGGGCCUAAUGGAAAUUAGGUAGUAGGGGCAAUAAAAGAAAAUGCAGGUAGCUGCCUAAAAUCCAGUGGACUCCAGGUCCACCAGCCAGGCACCACAUUGUUUUAACCUAUAAAUGAAGUAUGUCCAUGACUCUCACUACAUAAAAUGGAAGUUAAGCCAUAGUCCUUUUCCAAUGUGAUCUGAAAAUGUACUGUUUUUGCCUCUAGCAAAGCAAAUAUAUAGACAGAAAAUUCCUAGCACUGCUUUCACGCGAGGGAUGACAAAGGUGACAGACUCGGGCAAAAUGUUCAUAUUCUAUACGUGAAAUGGAAUGGUAACUUGAUUUUUCAAAAGGAUAAGAUUCUUGUUACAAAUUUAAGCAUAUUUAUUAAAGAAAACUCAAAUU